UUUUUCAUUUUUAUGUGUCUUCGCUUGAAACGAUAAAAAAAUAUUUUAGAAAGAUACCAGUAAUAAUCCUUGAAAUAAAACUCAGGAUGCACCUGAGUGUGUUAUGUGUCUUCACUGUCAACAAACAAAGCAAACGAGAAAGAACACAAACAAAAAGAAUUUAAAGUGUGCGAAAAUUCCCGUUUUCUUCUAAAUUAUUAAAUUAAACGUGCACCGCAAGCUAACGAAACGACGGGAAACUCAGUAAUCGUCAUUUGUUUGGUUUAUUUCGCUUCUGCAAGAUCUACCGGAAGUGAAACUAGGGCCAUUUCUCCCCAGGGCCAGGGAAGGGUGCAGGCCAGUACGUUCAACAUUAUGUUGACCAAAGCUCCAACAGCCGAAGCUGAGGCGGAAACAGGAAGUUUGAGGUUAUGAAGCUAAUUUCGCUCCGCUCCGGAACCCAACAAGGAAACAGCAUUUGAGAAACAACAAAAAACCUGAUGCUCGGUGCGCCUGUAAACAGCGCCGGAACCCGUAACAGAAAAUUUGACAACUGAAAGCUGCUUCUAGUUCGUUACUUCCGCAACACGAUCAGCAUGCCACUCGUCGUCACCAAAGACUAGCGAAAACACUGCGGAAUGAAAUUACUUAAACCCGCUACUACCAAAUGAGACUGUAGCCAUGGUGGCUUUCGAGAAUACGAUGUAAAUAGCCCGCAGCAAUGUUCUGUUUCCCAGAAGGCAGGACGACUACGUGGAAAACUACUCCAAAGUUUUCUAGGACAGUUAACGGCGCUUCCACCAACAAUGUACAUGCCGCCUCUAGUUAAGCAUCGAAGCCCGAAUUUGUCAGGAACCUGAUUAAGGUGUAUGUAUCUGGGCAUUUUAAUCAUGACAAUAAAAUCAUUCGAGAGGAUCGGUGACAUUAUAGAGGCAGGAAUUGACAGAAUGACUGUUCUCAUGCUUUAGCUGAGCACAUGAGAGGUGGUAAAGGAUCACCCGUUUCUUUUAACACCCUCCCAGUGGCCGGAUACCAUCACACCACGCUUACCAAUCACCAGAUCACCACAUUGAGUCGUACCAUCCGAUCAAGAAUAAUUCUGUCACGAAUUAAAGAAUCUUCCUUCAAUCUGCAGGAGAGAAAAAUAGAUUUGGCAAUUGGCGAUAAAUAAGCUCCAAAUCGAUAUGAAGAAUCCAACCUGGCAGAUUCGCGUGACGGAGCAGUUCACCUCUUCAGUAAUUUGGUGCUUAAACUGGUGUUUUGAACAUAUCCCAAGAAUUUUACAACGCAACACGAUUAAGCAGUCACGAAUCUUGUUGAUCCGGAAUUAGCCGAGAAUUAUUUGCUACUACGGAAUUUAUCGAAGCCAAUAUCUAACUGAUUUCGAUCGAUAUUUCGAGACACAGAAAGAUCCCUAAAACAUUAUUUUUGUGUUACCGAUUUUGGACGACUUGAACUUCAAACGGAACACAAGGAAGAAAAUGACUUCGAGUUCAUUCGUUCACCAGUCUUGGAUCAGGAUUCCCGAAUAUGAUCAGCUAGAAGAGAGAAGGACUCGGGUUUAUGAUGAUUAUAGAUUCCUUAUGCCAAAUCAGAUCAGCAUCCACUAUGAAACAUGGCAAGCGUCAUUGAUAAGCGCAGAUAUCAUUCGUCAGGUGCUGAAAACAAGUGGACAAGAUGUGGAACUCACCGACCAUAAUUACGGAUGACCUCCUGCGCAUCAAAUAAAUUGCUUAUGUUGGGUUUUGAUUGAUUGGAUUUCUGGUAAAUUGAGAUUUUUUUUUAAAUAAAUAUCAAUAAAACGCCACCUAUUACCGAAA